GGGCAUCUGGUGUAGUUGGUUAUCACGCUCGCUUAGCACUUUUCAUUGGAAGGUCUUGCGAGAGGUGAGCGGUUCAAUUCCGCUGUUGUCCA